CGGCUACAUGUUCGUUUAGAUUUUUAAUUAUCAAGUAAUAUUACAACUUGACAAGUUAUCGAUAAGUUCGAUUCUCUUUUACUAUUGGAGAAAUCAUGUAAAAAUUAUGAUUAUAAUUCACCGUCCUUUCUCGUGAAACAAAACUAAAACUACAGUUUAGGAAAAAGGUCAAUGAACCCUUUCGUCUUCGGUUGGUUCUUCAGGCAAAACUUGGAAAGGAAAAUAUAAAUUAUUAUGAAAAAGAAAUAAUGUGUGUGCGCCUGAGAGGACCGAACACCAACAAUGGAAAAGCUAAGAGAUUCCACGCGUCAACAACGACAUUAAACAAAUUUGAAAAAUAUUAAUUUAGCCGAACAGACUAUGUACCGAUGACGUACUUCCGGUGAAAUAUUCAACUGAACGUGUGGCGCACGAACACUGAACACUCCCCUGGCGGAAGCGAGCUUUGCGCAUCGAUCUGUUCCGGGUACUCUGCUUUUCGGUGUUCACUUGAUAGAAUUGCAAAUCUCUAUAUCAGUGAAUACCGAGGUGGCAAGAAAAUAAAUUGUAAAACUUUCGAUCGUCAUUGUUUCUUGACGUUGUACACGUUCGUGGACACAAUGGACCGCGUACGCGCACAAUUUCUAACCUCUAAAAAAUGGCCGCAUUUGUUCCGUGCUUUUAGUCGUCACGGACGCGAAAUUUUCACGGUUUCUCGUGAAUUCGCCUCCCUCGAAACAGCAUGGCCCUCGAGCGCGUUAAUUUUCCUCAGUGAAUUGAUUUCGACCCCGCCACCCUGUAGCCAUUCGCUCUCGUUGCCCGUUCCUGCGUUAACUCUGCCCAGUUAGAUCGAAGUUGCGAACCGCCAAGAGGGAGAGCCCCGGAUCACUGAGAGGAACCAGACCAAGAGGGGAAAGCGAUGGGAGUACCAGGAGAAAUACGUGGCUUAAAGGGAACGUGUUAGCUACGAUGGGUUUUAGAAGUAUGGAUUUAGUUGGAGAACCGUAGAAACACAGGUUGUCUCUCAAAAUCCGACGCAAUUCAUUUUUAAUUGCUGACUUAAGGCAGAAAAAAUAUCCAAUACGCAUGGGACUGUAAUGCUAAUAACCACUGAUGAUCUAUAGUCAAUAAUCAAGAUUCACAGAUUUUUGAAUAAUCAAAAAGGACAUUAGCACGGAGAAAGCGAAAAAUAAAAGGAAUGUAAAGAAAAGUGAAGAAAAAGAGAAACGCCGGAACGAAAGAAUGAAAAGGCAAAUAUAUAGAGACAGGGGGGUAGGAAAAAAAGAAAGAAGAGUAACGAAGAGGGAGGGACAGAGAGAACAUAGAGAGGAAGAGGGUUUAUGUUCUAAAGCCCGCGACCCACCCCCUAUAAAUUCUAGCAGCCAAGGGGGUUUCCGUUAAAGUAGAACUGCUACUGCAAUAGUGUAUCUGUCGAGCAGCCUAAAGUCGAUAGAACGUUUUCGAUCGUGUCGUUGGUCACGAGAUAUGAGCAUAUCUCGCUUUAAAGCGACUCGGAAUUCUAUCGCAUCUCGCCCAUACCCUCCUGGAUUACCCUCAUCUUCGAGGCUGCGAUUUCGCCUCAUUUUUUUUCGUUUUUACCCCUUUUCUCUGGUUGCUCUUGCAACCCUCGUUGCACGUUUCUACCACACGCGAAAACGUACAAACACCGAGGGUGUCGAGAGCGAGUCGGGGAUGACGUCGAUUGGAAUAGCAGCAGCAGCAUCGUCGCAAAUUAGAGGCUACUCCCUUUUGGUCGAGGCACGCUGCUGUAUUAUGGGGAUUCUGCGACGCGAUCAAGGGGCGUUGUAACCACAGCAGCGCUACGAAUUGAUCGAUAACACCCGGGAUCGAUAUUGCAUCUCCGACGAGUCCAGGCGAAUUCGGUUUUACCAAUAAACGCAAAUCGAUACAGCUUAGAAGGGAACGGUCCUGAGGUGUGACUUUUUGAUGAGCCUUUGGUUAAACAACAGAAUACAACAUCAAUUUUCGAGUACUAGGCAUCAUUGUGCAAAGACACACCCGAAAGUCAGGGUUACACCUUGGAAUCUACCCCUUGUUGGACACAGGUGCAUUAUAACAGUAGCAAACAAGUAGAAAACUUAAUUGUUACAUAAUGCACAGUUGGGUGCAACAGAGGCUUCUUUUAAAGUAAGGUGUAGGGAAAAGAGUGUCCUAUCAAUCGCCUUGGACUUACCCUCUUAGGCAAGUGGAGGGAGGUUCCUUCCCCCACACUUACCCUACUUUUAUUUUCAGAAGAACCCUACGGUUGCACCCAAAUGUACCUAUAUGUCUAUGAUAAUGUCUGAAACACAUAAAAAACAAUUGUGUACGAAUGUAAGCCUAUGCCAUGCGACGUGGUUGGCGUAUCGACCGAUUGCAGCUUCGUGCAAUUUACAAGAGGAGGGAACCUGUUCGCUUGGACAUCGCGUCGAUACGCUCGAAGCACGAUGUUAAACGAAUCAAUUAUGACCGUACGUUGACGAUUCAUGGAAGUCGCAUGCGAGGGCAAAUUGACUGAUGUAUUAUUGUGUGAAUGCGAAAGAAAAUUCGUAAUGAGCUUAACGUGAAAAAAUAAAAAAAAAUUCGUGUAAUCUGAGAAUAAUGAUUGAUAAUAUUUCAAUGAUAAUAAUAAUAAUAGUAAUAAUAACGAGAAUGAGAAUGAGAAUAAUAAUAAUAGGCGGUAGCGGUAGUAGUAGCAAUAGUGUCAGUAUUAAUAAUAUAUAAUGUUUGGCAUCGUUAUCUUCGCGUCUGUACAAAUGGUUCGCUUUCAUUGAAACGCUUCGAUGUUUAUUUCAUUUCCUUUCUGAAUCGAAACGUUUCCUUUGUAUACAGAAAAUUUAUCUAGUUUUGGUUGUUAACAACGUGUUCCCCAUAUUAGAGCGAAUUACAAUCUAAACUUAAUGAACCAAUAUCUUCGUACGUUAAUAAUAACAUAAUAAUAAUGGUAAUGAUACAAUAAUAAUAACAACAAUUAACUAACGAACAAAUUAAAUAUAACUAAAAAACGUUAAAUCGAGCUUGUAUAAAAAACAUUUAACGCACUUCCGGUAUAUUAACGAAAAUAGUGGUAUCAGUAGCAGCAGCAGCAGCAGCGAUAUUAAUUCUACUAUAAUAUAAAAUAUAAAAAUUGUUUGAGAACACAUGGCUACCGAGGACGUUGCCGACCACCUCUGAUAUUAUUUCAUUGACAAAUAAAGGAGGAAAAAACAGUACGGUCUGAGGAGGUCGACAUAUUAUUUAUGGUUUAUUAACAACGAGACUUUUUUGUGUCGGUAGGAAGACGUGUAGAACGAUCUUACUCAACAAAAAUGUAGAGGGUCGAUGAUUUGAUGGAAAAAUCAGGUGGAGUGUUCCAGAAAGGUUGGGUCAAAUUUUAAGGGAUAAUUUUGAUAAACAUCUUUCCCUAAACUUUGACACAACCUUCAUUAAUGUACAGUUGGGUGCAAUUAAGGCUUUUAUGGUUAAAAAAAAAAUUGAGAGGAAGAAACGUUCCAUCACUUUCAAGAUUAGAUUCUCCCAAGAUCAAAGACAAAAUGGUGGAGGUUCCUCCUUCUGCACUUACCCUUAAUUAAGAGAAGCUUACGUUGCGCACAACUGUACAUGUCUGGAAUGAUAAAAAAUGUUCUAAUUUCUAAAUUUCUGUCAAAUAUGGCGGUUUGUAAUGUUCGUCCCGGUGCCAGAUGACGGGGCGCACUUCCGUUAUGUUCAAAGAAAACGUACAAUCAGAAAGCACCACUCGCUAGAGAAAAUACUGUUGCGUUUUCUCCUUAAACGAAUUAUUAACUAAUGGCAUGCUUGUACUAUCUGCGGUGAAGCGAUACGGCUGUGUCUCUCUGUUCACGAAUAGCAAAAGUUUGCAACAAAAACUAAUAAACACUAUUGUACACACGUUGAACGCACGAAAACUUCUAUACAACUCUAUUCCCCACGGAUCUCGUAUACACGUGGAACUCAACGUUUGAUUUAUUGCUGUUCACCUUUCUACCCCCGCGAAUAACAUUUCCGGUCAUCGGAUACGAUUUUCGAUACUUUCGUUGGUGAAACAAUGCCAGCUACGCGAAAACUGAUAAUUAUUAUUAAACAAUUAAUUAGCUUUGAACGGUAACUUGGAGAAUGGUGAGAAAUUUUCAAAUAAAACUUAAUAAACCUAAAUAUUAAUAUUUUGAAUGGUUUGAUAAUUUAUAUACAACAAAUUUCUAUUAACCCAUAAAAAACGUCACGUUAGAAUAAAAAACUGCUUCGAAGGGUUAAUAAUAAUAAUUAAAAAAAAAAGUGACAAAGAACUCGAAGGCAAACAAUUCCAUCGAUCGUUGUUAUUUCAGCAAAGCUUUCAGGGUGCCGUGUCCACAUAGAGGCCAUGGCUUUCAGAAGAUGAAUACUUCAACAACGACGUGCUUCGAUAUGCAUAAAUCAGUUUAACGCGCAGCUGGCAUCGAACACAGAAAGUUCAAUAUUACGAAUCCACGGGGGCAAGCACCCUGCCUUCUCUCUAAAGUAAUCGAGAAUCAAACCCAUUCGAAUUUUAGCUGUCGUGUGUUCCAUUUUCGCGGCACAUUAAAAUAACGCGUAUGGCUCUGUUACCUUUUCUUCUUUUUUUUUUUUUCAUCCGUGUUGUACAGUGUGUGUGUGUGUGUAUAAACGGAUGUAUCUUUUAUAUACAAAUCAACUUUACCUCUACAACCUCGUACAUAUCGGAACAAUUGAAUCUUUUGGUACUUGGUUUGCAUCGAGAUCGGUACCUUGAAUGUACUACUCUUUUGAAAAUCAAUCUUGAAAUAAGUAGCGUUUUGAAUAAUUGCAAUCAUGGCUAUCGCGAUGGAAAAUAAUUCUGCAAUUUGAAAAUUAAUUGUACAGGGUAUAAUAAUGGAACCCCUCUAAAUAUGAAACUUAAAGUCACUAAGAUAUAUUCAAUUUUAAUUCCAGGUACCGAUCUUUGUAUCUUAUCUGCUGCGACUGGUACACUAGGCUUCAGGGUGUGCUUAAGGUACGCGUUUCAAAGGGUACAUUAUGCCUAGCUUAAUCUAAGCGUAUCAAGGGACGGAGCGUUGGACGGGGGGGUCAAAAGUAACCUCUGUAGUCGAGAAUCGGCCCAGGAAAAAAAAAGGAGAUUUCUACAUCACGAGAAUACCAUAUUUCUUUUUUCUGUUUCUUAUUAUUUAUCACAGGAACGUAGAAGAGAAAGAGAUUCCAAUUCGCGUCUAAAUUUACUCACUGACGUAAUUAGUAUUUUUUUAUCUCAGGCGGCUAGCAAUAUUUUUGUAUCAAUUUGAUCAUUUCUGAUAGAGUAUGGGGGCCACUUUGAACCCUCCCUAGUUACGUCAAUGUUAUACUACUUGGGAUCAAAAAAAAAAAGUUGUGAAAAGCCCGAUGAGAGAAAAAGAGUAGUUUUGUUCACUGAACACCGGAUGUGUAGAUCUUGUUCGGCGUUUAGCUCCUUCCGAUCGAACGCUCGUCCCUUUCGACAAAUUCACACGCACGUUCACGCAUCGUUUUCUGUCUCUUUCGCUUAAGCUAGUAAAAAAAUGAGCCAUUCCCUUUUGCUCUUUCUCUGGCCGGGUCUAGCGACAAAAAGGGCGAGCGUGCGAGACGCGUGGAUUACGAUGGAGAUUAAGUGAUAUGUGUUCCUGUUAAAACGCAUCUAAGAAAAACCAACACGCACACACGCACACAUACAUACAUGUAUACACGAGCUUUUGAUAUUGUUCCAUCAAAUGAAACAAUGAAAAUCAAUAUCUUUUGAUUUGUGCUUGCACGUGUUACCUUUUCAUAUAUUAUUUGAUCGAAUUAAAUGACGCUCUAUUAAUUUGAUCAUUUUAGAUUCUUCGAAUGUGAACAGCGAAUGGUCAUUUAGUCUCGAUCAAAUGAUAUUUCUCAAUGAUCGCAAACGCAGCCUUAGACCCGUACAAAACUACUAAAAAGUACAUGUUUUUUUUUUUUUUUUUACGUAUAUACGGUUGCACGGACGAGUUUCACUUACGAGUAUAUUCGCUCUGCUAGAAACUUACUGGAUUCUAAGAUACUCCAAGUAGAACACUUAUCAAUCGAAUGGAAAUUGAAAUUAAGGUGUAAUUAAUGAUCCAAAUUCUGUUACGUUCUACGUAGAGUAUCGUUCCAAGUAUUGACCGAGAAAUAUCAGUUUACAUUCAAAUUGUAGAAUGUCAGAGUGUAAAAUAAAGCUCGUUGGUCCUGUUCUAGCCAGAUAUAGGUGGUAGACACGGUGGUAAUGCGAUGAUUUAGCCACGCGUUAGACCACGCACGAUUUUGGCAAACAAUUGUUAAAAUAUUUUUAACAAAUGAAGCUACACCGAUGCGAAAGGUAGGAAAUUAUUUGGUAAAUGUUAUAGUUUCAUACUUCGAUUGCAAAAGAUAAACUGUAACUAAUUACCUAUUCUAUUUGUUCGUUAAAAAUUAACAUGUCGAUACCAAAUAUUUAUAGCGUUCAAUUCUAUAUUAUAUAUUCAAAAAUUAAUUUGUGGAUCCAAAAUUGGAGGUUUAUAGCUAAUACUAAUCAAAAUAAAAGAAUCUUAAGAGAAAUUUACAGUUUGCCAAAUCGUGGUCUAAUUAAAUGGUUUUGUUUUUCUGCUCCAAAUGUACAUUUCCUCCUGUGACUCGAACGAAUGUUUCAAAUUCACCUGAACUUUCGAAUUCACAGGAUUCGAGGGUCAAUUCAGGUUUUUCAAAUUUUUUCUCAUUUUCUCUAUUUCCUUUUUCCCCAUGAACUCUCAUCGUUUCCCGAUACCCGGUCAAGUACAGUAAAGGCACGCGAUAAGAAAUGGAAGGAGACAGUUCAAGAACCCAUUACACGUUUCGUGUUCGAUCUCUAUUUUACACCGUUACGAGAGAAGACCACGUGAUGUUUUUCAUUAAUUCAACAGUAAUCUAAUUAACACAUCGAAUACCAUUCGCUGCCGAACUCCAAAAGUAAAGUCGGUCGCUGGAUGCCUCAACGUUUCAACGUCGACGAUCGGGCCCGCGAUAUCGCGUGAUCGACAGCGAACGCGUUAAAUGGAAAAAUCCAUGAAAGAUAUAGUGAUUUUUUAAUUAAUUCCAAAGCUAUGCACGCGAGAAACGAAGCACCAAAUUCAAAAAGUCUAAACAAGAAAUUUUCUUUUCCCCCCAUUAGAUUUCUACGGUACAGCUUUAUAACAAUUUAAAAUGCAACAAAAGAUUAUAUAAUUUCUCAAACAAUUAAAAAAAAAAUGAUAAGAAUGAAUUUUUUUCUUACAGAUCUUUGAGAUAGAGAAAAAUCGACACGUGGUGUCCAGCCGUGAGAUUUUAUCCAAAAAUUCUUGGGAACGAAUAUCAUAGAUUCUCUGCAGGGACUUUCUAAAUAUUAACGUUACUUUAUCCGACGAAUCUUAAUCGUUAAAGUUUAUUUAAUAUUGAAAAUUUCCGAAAUCGCGGUUAACUCGAUUCUUCUAAUCCAUCCUUAUUUUUCUCUCCCUCGCGCGCGCGUGCUCUUUCUCUCUUUUAUUAUCCUUUUUUUUCUUUUUUUUUUGGUUUUCUUAGCGUACGUACGUUUAUUGUUUAUGAGAUGUGUGUAUAAAAAAAUAUGAAUCGUUUCAUUUCAUCUAUUAGAGGUAGAUACGCAGGAAACAGAAGCGGUAUUCUUUUAUCAUUUUCUCUUUUUUUCUUUCUUUUUUUUCUUCUUUAUUUAGUUUUGCAUCUUUUGCGUAUAGUAAACUAUUGCUGAAUCGACUGACUUCUUGUUUUAUUUCCUCUCACGGUUUCGAAGGAUCUUUGAAGUAGAUAAAGAAAGGAAACGGUUGUCGACGAACCACCGCGAGAGAAACGAAUAUUAAAUAAAU